AAUUCAGAAUUGCUUUCUUAAUUACUGACUGAAAUUAAAAUAAAAGCUAACAGAAUAUGAAAACAAACCUUAUAAUUUUCAGGAAAGAUUCAGGGAUUUUUUUGGUUAACUUUGUUCUUUGUUUUCCAUUUGUUUAGAAAGAAGCACCCAGCCCAGCUUACAACAAAUAAAAGAAAAUAACAACAACAAAAGGAUCAUUGAAUUCAAGAACUGGAAGCUGAAGUCUCCAAAAUGAAAAUCUCACAUAAAAAAUUUACUACAAGUCCCUUUCUGGAGCCACCGUCAUGAUGAGAUUCUUGAUACUUCUAUGGUCACUCCUAGAAAAAAUUCAAUACAUUUUCCUGAAAAAGCAGUAUCUUUGGAAAAUGGCAGGGAGGACUGCUUUGCAAAGGUUUUGCAGUACACAAGUUCCAGCCUGGAGACUGGGUCCUGGUUCGGACGUGCAAGGAGGACAAGCUGAUCCCGGCCUGGGAAAGACCGUUCCAGAUCCUCCUGACAUCAGGCACAGCAGUGCUACACAGGAAAGAGGGUGGACUCAGCAUCCCAGAAUUAAAGGACCGGUGAACACUCCAAGGGUGUGGACUCCCAAACUGAAUCCAGAGAACAAGCUGAGACAAAUGUUAAAAAGGACCUGAUGAAUUGUGCAUGUAAAAUCUUACUAGCAGUAUUGAUCUGGCGUACUAUACUAGGGCUUUUUCUAACAGUGUUAGAUAUUAUUUUCUGUUGGACAGUGUUACUUGACUCAGAAAUCUGACUUAUUGUUCGGUAGAAUGGGGGCCAAACAAAACACACACAGAAGGGGAUUGUGUCUUCUAUCCCUAUGUAUAACACUACCCCUUGUUGGAACAAUCCCUAAUCCUUUACUAAAGGAUGGCAACAGCUUCCAGAACUCGAUUCAGGUUAUUGCUGAUACCUCACACGAUGGCCCUGAGUACCUGUCCCUUUAUUUACAGCCUGGAUAUUGAGUAAUAGAUCAAUUGUACAUGAUGGUACAGGAUUUUGGUCAGAUAAGGAGGAAUAUCAGUGGAAACUAACUAAUGCUGUCCCAGGAAGGGCAUUGUUUAAAUCAAACAGGCACAGGGCCUUGGAUGGGAGAAAGUAAAUGUGAAUGGACUUUUACCCACCGGCCAGAGAAGGUAGAUAUUAUAGAUUGUAGUAAAUAUGAAAAUAGAUGGAAUAAAACAAAUAUUGUUUGUGAUGAUGGGUCAGUGAUUAAAUGUACUCAUCAACAUGCAGUAGAGGGUAGUGAAGAAUGCUUGAAGGAAUUUAGAAAGAAACCAACUUGUCAAACACCCCGAGAUUUAUGGAGAUGUUUAAGGUUAAAUAGUACAAAGCCAGGUACUACUAGUACUAUAAUGGGAUGGAAGCUGGGGGUAUAGGACACCAAUAUAUAUAACAUGUUAAAUACACUAAUUAGAUUACAAGCAGUUCUGGAGAUAACAACUAACCAGACUACUCAGGCUCUUGAUUUGCUAGCUGAUCAAGCCACUCAAACACAAGAAGCUGUUUUACAGCAUCAACUAGUUUUAGAUUAUUUGCUAGCAGAGGAAGGAGGGGUCUGUGGAAAAUUAAACUUGUCCACUUGUUGCAUGCAAAUUGAUGAUAAUGGGCAGGUGGUAAAAGAAAUUACAAAAGGCAUUCACAGAAUAGUUCGUGUGCCUGUACAAGUGUGGAAAUCCCCUUUUUCUAAUAGUUGGUGGUCCUGGGUUGAUGGUACCUGUGGAAACAACUUUUAUGGUAUGGACUAAUUGCAAUCAGUGGUAUUAUAUUGUUACCAUUAUGUUUACCCUGUAUAAUUACAUUAAUAACCAGAAUAGUCCAACGAUCCCUACCAAAAUUGCAUCCAGAGGAUGCUAUUAAAAUGAUGAUUCUCCAGAAAAGAGGCCAGAGGGUGCUAGAAGGAGAUAAUUCUGACAGUGAACUUGAUAAACAAUGUGUAAGCCUAUUAACUGACUUUGAGCAAUGUGUAAGUUCUUCAUAGAAAAUAUGAUAAAAAUCACUUACAUAUUAUAAGGGAGGAGUUGUUUGGAGUAGAGAUAAAGUGAAGAACUUUCAAGAAUGUUUAAAUUCCUUUUCUGUAUUUUAGUUUCUCUGGGUCUCUGUGACCUGCAUAAGUAUAUUGCCUGAUAUAUGGUUCCUCUCGGAACCAGGGAAUCUGCUGUUUUGGGCAUGAAUUAAGGGGGGAGGGCACCUAUCUCUUGAUGUUCCCCCAAUCUAUGAUGUAAUCCUUUGUAACUAAAACCUAUAAAAACUGUAUAUCUUCUCCGAGUUCUUUAGCCCUUCUACCAUGAGCUCUCUCUCUUUCCCUCCUCACGGUACAAUUGCUCAUUCUCGUGAGAAUUAAUUAAACAAACAACUUUUCUGCUUUUUACUUCAAGAGGUCUCUGAAUGGUCAUUUUUGGAUAGGAUUUUCUAUCCCUCACAAGUUUCAAUUGCAACAGAAAAUGUAGGAGCUGUUUUCAUAUAAUACUUUCUGUCCAUCCUUCAGUUUUUGUAUUAUAUUUGUUUCCAGACAUUUUAUUUUCUCUAUUGCCCACUAUAAGUUGUUGGUCAUUUUGUAUUUAGACUAUCUGUUGCUUAAUUAUUAAUAUUUGCAAUUGAUUGUCUUAAAGUGUAGAUUACUAAAUUGAUUUUCUUUUGAAAGAAAAAUGGUAUAUUGUCAAAAAUGGUAAUAAAAAUGGUAAGAUUUACUUAGAGUGGAAGCCAUGUUUAUUGCAAACAUGAGACAUGAGGCAUAUUGCUAAUAAAGUUCAUAUGCCUUUUUGCAUAUAAUUAAUAAUGAUAAGUGCUUGAUUCUGUUAAUAGCAUUAUAUUUGUGGAGGUCACAAAAUUUGAUUUAUUAGCCAUAUAUAUUUGAUUUUUAUAUAUUUUCUACACAUAUAUUUGGGGUAACAAAAAUUACUCUGGCAAAAAGGGAUUGCAUUGGAAAAAAUAUUAGAUCAAUAUAUUUUCUGUAAACUACUAAUAGUCAAACUAAACUAAUGUCUUAAGUUUCUUAAUAAUUUCUGUGGAUGUC